GCAAAUUUAUCUGAUCAACAUUCACUAUAGUCCCCAGUCUGUAUUUCCUCGUCAAUGCAUCUAAACCACCAACUGAUAUGGUAGAGAGCCAAAUGGGACAUAAAAAAACGAAGAAGAACCAUUAAGACACACUUGGUUUUCGGACACAUCUUACUGCAAGAUGAUUUGUGGUGCUCUCACCUUCAGAGCUCCUCUUUCUUCAAGCUCUUCCUUCACUUGUGAUUCCAAAAGACCUGCUAAGCAUUCUGCCAGACUCAAAAUUCAAUGCUCAAAUUCUAGUCCGGACAUUCCUUUAACCACCGAGAAGAUUGUAAAUGACUCUUAUUUGACUGGCGGUGCAUAUGAUUUUGAUAGAGCAUCAACAUCACUUACUCAGAAGUUAUUAUCAUCUCCAAAGAAGGUUACUAUUGUAAGGCAUGGUCUUAGCUCUUGGAACAAAGAGAGUAGAAUUCAGGGAAGCUCAAACUUAUCUGUCUUAUCAGAAACUGGAGUGAGGCAAGCGGAGAGGUGUAGGAAAGCCUUGGGAAAUAUUUACUUUGAUCGGUGCUUUUCAAGUCCAAUAUCUCGUGCCAAGUCCACUGCCGAAGUCAUAUGGCAAGGGAGGGAAGAGCCACUGGUUUUUCUCGAUUCAUUGAAGGAGGCCCAUCUAUUUUACCUUGAAGGCAUGAAAAAUGUGGAUGCCAGGGAGAAAUAUCCAAAGGAGUACACAACAUGGAGAGAAGAUCCUGCUAAUUUUACUGUCAAUGGCAUCUACCCUGUGCGAAAGCUAUGGGGGACAGCUAGAGAAGCUUGGAAGGAAAUAUUGUUUUCGUCUGGAGAAAGCUUUUUGGUCAUCACGCAUAAGUCAAUAUUGAGGGCAUUGAUCUGUACAGCUUUGGGGCUAAGUCCAGAAAGGUUCCGUUCAAUUGAUGUAAAUAAUGGUGGCGUAUCUGUAUUCGCUUUCAACAAAAAAGGAGAAGCAAUGCUUCAAUCUUUGAACAUGACAGCUCACAUGUAUAAUGAUCAUACCUAUCUUUACUGAAACUUCAAGACUUCACUUUUUGGCGAGGAAGAAAAUUCUGCUGAAAGGAAACGCACACCAGAAACAGUGAUACAGUGCUCAUGGAAUGAUAAUGGGCAGAGUAAGUGAUGCAACUUAUGAAUCAUACCAGCUUCAUCUUUGUUUGGUUACCAUGAGGAGAUAAGGAUUGUAGUUUAGAAGUUGAAAAGGUGUAACGGAUGCAUAUUCUUAGCCCACGCUAUGGUCGCUUGUCCAUGUUAAAGCUUUUAUCUGAAUUCAUUAUGAGAAAACCUGCAUUACUGUGGAAUAGUAUUCCUGUAAAGCCCUUUCCAGAAUAUUCAUUUUCUCACUAUUCUCU